AAUUAGUGACGGAUUUAUGACGGAAUUUUCCAUCAUAAAUUUUGUGAUGGAACAUCUGUUACAAAUCUGUCACUAAAAUUUGUGACAAAAAAAUCCAUCACAAAUUUAUGACCUUUGUGAAGGAUUUGUGACGGAUUUAUCCGUCACCAACCUUUGUGACGGAGUUGUCCAUCACAAAUAUUUUGUGACAGACAUUUCCGUCACAAAUUUACAACGAAUUUGCGAACAAAAAGAAAAGGCCCUAUUUACAUUAGGUCAACAAUUAAAAUUAUUAUUUUCUCAGCCGCUGGUCACAAUUCCUCUUUCGUUGUCCAUCACUUUUCCUCUUCGGCUACUCCCUCCUUCGUUGCUCCUCUCCUCUCCUCUCCAUUCAGCUGCUUGUCUUUUUUGUUGCUUGGCUCCGUUCAACUGCUGCCGCCGCUCUCCACUGGAAUGAUUUAGGGUUUGGCGAUAUUGUUGCGCAAUCAAUGAUGUGGGGUUUGGUGAUAUUGUUGCUCAAUCUAUUACGAAUUAUGUUGUCCAAAAACAAUGUCAAUCAGAGCAAGUGGCGAAAAGAUGACUCGAAAUAGACAGGACUCUACUAACGGAAUGUACGGUAUGGCUAUGGAGUGGAUCCAGAUACUCUGGUCAGGAGAUGCUUCAGCUACAUCAAUAUUGGCAUCUCUUUCAAACCUGAGGCCAGAAAUAUCUUCACGUUUAACUAUCUGAUGUCAGCGAAAGUGUAGCUGCUAUCAUUUUAUGUGCCUAUGACGAAGCUGAUCUUUGUCGCUCUUGCGACGAGAAGGUAAUUUUUAUAAGUUGGCUCAUUAUGUAUCACUUCAUUUUCUGUUUUUUCUAAUGUGCGAAUAGUAUCUGAAUUGGUGAAGUUGAAUAAUAAUUUUGAUUAUUUGGUUUCAAUUUAUGUGAUGCUCUUCUUAUGCUGGUAUGCUAUCAAGUUAGCUAGUUAAAAAUAGCUUCUCUAGCCUAUGUAGUUUAUCUAUUUUAAAAUUGAAUGACAAUCAUAUUCUUUUGUAUCCGUUCAUUUGAUUUGAAUUCAAUUUGUUUAAUGGUUUUGUGAUUAUUGUUUCUAUUGGACUAUAGUUAUGAUCAUUUGUAGUUGAAGUCCUAUAAUUUCCAUAUUGGACUAUAGUUAUGAUCAGAAGAGGAUUGAUGACUGUUUGAAUUUUUUCUUACCUCUUGGUUGGAGCUGGAUUUAUUUAUCCCGUCAAUUGUUUUAUUGAGUUGUGAUUAGUGGAGUCAGUUAGAAUUGAAAACUGAAAAGUUUACUUGCUACUGUUAUUUUAUAUUUGUUGUUAUUUUAUACAGAUCUAUUUUAUUCUUUCUCCACUAUGCAUUGCAAAAACUAUCAAAUUUGGGAUACAUAUGCUUUGUCUUUUUUUUUCAAUAUC